GUUCUCUUGGCUCAGUUGGUUAAUGCACGGAAUUCUGUCUUUUGGCUGAACCGCCGAGGUCGCGCGUUCGAUUCACUCAGGAAGCA